GGGGCCACGGUGGCUUAGUGGUUAGCGCGCUUGCCUCGCACCUCUAGGGUCAGGGGUUCGAAUCCCCCCCCCCCC